AUUAAACUGUGAAAUCAAAGUGCUUUCAUGAACAUAAAGCAAAUGUCAUAAAACUCUAUUCAUGUGCCAUUGCAAAACCCAAAGCAAACUCUACUUUUAAACAACCCCAACAGGUAUUUAGUGUGACUAUUAUUUGGAGUGAUAGGAAGCCUAUAGAGGUUAGCAUAGCAUAGCAUUAAGUUGAAUUAUGUUAACUUGUACAACCUUUCAUUUUACCACACAAUGCACAGCAGUCCAGCUCUUUGGGCGAUUGUCUGAGCACGAAAACAUCAAACUCUCCACCAGUUAAUAAAUAAAUAUAUGCAGUCAAGAAAUGCAUCAAGUAAAAGCACUUUAUAAAUAUGGUGACAGCAAGGAUUG